CCUUGGGAAACAGGACGUCAUAGAGGGUGAGAAUCCCGUUUGGCGAGGAUACCUUUUCUCUGUAAGACUUUUUCGAAGAGUCGAGUUGUUUGGGAAUGCAGCUCAAAGUGGGUGGUAAAUUCCAUCUAAAGCUAAAUAUUGGCGAGAGACCGAUAGCGAACAAGUACAGUGAUGGAAAGAUGAAAAGAACUUUGAAAAGAGAGUGAAAAAGUACGUGAAAUUGUUGAAAGGGAAGGGCAUUUGAUCAGACAUGGUGUUUUUUGCAUGCACUCGCCUCUCGUGGGCUUGGGCCUCUCAAAAAUUUCACUGGGCCAACAUCAGUUCUGGCAGCAGGAUAAAUCAUUAAGAAUGUAGCUACCUCGGUAGUGUUAUAGCUUAUUGGAAUACUGCUAGCUGGGAUUGAGGACUGCGCUUCGGCAAGGAUGUUGGCAUAAUGGUUAAAUGCCGC
rnacentral:rRNA from 1 species